AAUGAACGUUUGCGGCGUGCCUGAUGCAUGCAAGUCGUACGCUUCAAUGAUUCGCAAGGAUUUUUGGGGAGUGGCGGACGGCUGAGUAACACGUAAGUUACCUACCUCUAAGUGGGGGAUAACUUGCCGAAAGGCAAGCUAAUACCGCAUGUGAAGUAUUUUUAAAGCCUUCGGGCGCUUGGAGAUGGGCUUGCGUCUGAUUAGCUAGUUGGUAGGGUAAUGGCCUACCAAGGCGAUGAUCAGUAGCUGGUCUGAGAGGACGACCAGCCAGACAGGGACUGCGACACGGCCCUGACUCCUACGGGAGGCAG
rnacentral:rRNA from 1 species